rnacentral:rRNA from 1 species
UACGUAGGGUGCGAGCGUUGUCCGGAAUUAUUGGGCGUAAAGGGCUCGUAGGCGGUUUGUCGCGUCGGGAGUGAAAACGCCGGGCUUAACUCGGUGCUUGCUUUCGAUACGGGCAGACUAGAGGCAUGCAGGGGAGAACGGAAUCCUGGUGUAGCGGUGAAAUGCGCAGAUAUCAGGGGGAACACCGGUGGCGAAGGCGGGUCUCUGGGCCGUAACUGACGCUGAGGAGCGAAAGCGUGGGGAGCGAACAGG